rnacentral:misc_RNA from 1 species
GUACGCGUAAAAACACGCGCGUUAAACCACGUUAUUUUUACUUUCAAAUCAGUCUGAGGGAACGUACGAAUUUGUCGCGGCUCGCGCGGACCGCGGUGCUUCGCCACGUUUCUAUUUUCCAUUUGUUUUUUGAUUUCAAUUUUAACGAGAUCGAUAUGCUUCUUUCUUUUUUUUUCUUCUUUAUUUCAACCGUUACCGAAAAAACCUCGAAAUCUGUGUGAGAACAGGUUCUUCAGAUCGCUCAUUUAAGAGCCAUCGUCGAUGCCACGCGAACGUAUUCGCGUGCAAUUUGUUAUUUCGUACUCGCCAUCGAACCCGUUAAGAAAAUAACGACCGUUUGGAUCUCGAAUAUAAUUCGAGUACAAUUCGCGAAUAUUUCGGUCGAAGUGCGCGACAUUCGAAGAGAGAUGUUGAUGUAUUUAAUCGACGAACGAACCAGAGUCGAAAUGGUCGCUGUCGAUGUUAGACUAGCGUUUUGUCGGCACGGCGAAAAAUUUACAGAGCGGGAGAGGAGCGUGCGGUCCGCCCGCACGCGGAAAUAAUGCCUUACUUAGAAGUCUUAGGAUUUAAUAACGGACUUAAAGUAAUCAACGGUGUUUAGACGUACGUAUAAACUUUACAAUGCAACAGAGCCCAACCUUCGACGAGCCCGUCUUGAAGACGGACGAACGCGUCUCAUUGUUAUCUUCUAAAACGUACCACGAAUAGUUUUACGUUAGCUCGCGUAAAACCGCGCUGAAUCGGCACUCUCUUUCGAGUUUCUUCUCGGUUAAUAACUCUCAUUCCGAUUCUAAUACCACGCGCACGUAUUUAACUGGACACAGGCGAGCACGGAUCGAGAACGUGGAAAACGACGUCCGGCGAUUCGUUCGUUGAAAUUAGAUCGAAUACGAGCUCGUGAACAAUCGCAAUCGAACGGAGAGUAAGAAAAUCAGUCUUACGAAUUGAAAAAAUCGCUUCUUUCGGUAACGAACGUUACACGAGCUUUGAACCGUUUGUUGAGAUUCGUUGUUGCUCGAGGAGCAUAUUAUUCAAUAAAAUUUGUAAUAUUUGAUCAGAAAAAAUAGUUGAUGCGAUUAGCUAACACAGUGAAAGAUAACAAAAUGACUAAUUUCUAAUAUUAAUCAUCGUUUGCGAAAUUUAAUAUUUGGUUCAUAUUUAGGAAAAGUGUUAGUUGAAGUUAAUCGGUACGAUAGUACAGGAUAAUGAGUCAAUUUUUUGAUAUAGCCGUGUUAAGGAAUUUUUAAACGUCGUAAACAGACGAAAAAGAAUAUUUUAGAAGCAGAGAAAUACAUAUACCGUCUACUGUGACUCAUAAAAUAAAACAUUUCGCAUAUAUACAAAACAUAACAUAGAAUUCAGGAGUUGCAGUUUGUAUAAUGAUCGAAUCGAUUGCGCCGGAGAAGUCGAUAGAAAAACGAACGCAGAACGUAGUUGCAAAAAAUAACGACGGACCUGUCUAGAAUCGUAGAACGGACAGCAUAGGCCAGCGUGACCAAAAUAAAUGCUCCCGGUGUGCAUCGAGAGGAGACAAGUUGUUU